AGCUGCCAUGUACUAGGCCACGUGGCAAGGGCCUGGUUGGGGACCUCCAGGGGUUGAGAGCAUCCUCUGGACAACAUGGAAAAAGAAAAUGAAAAUGGUGACCUCAGCCCUAUAGCUAGAAGGAAUUGAAUCCUGUCAACAACGAUACUCAUCACUCACUGCAGAUGUUACUUUAAGACAUUCUGGAGCAGCGUCAUGUGCAGGAGAAAAUAGUAUCAUCUCAGCCUUCUAUGAAAUCAAGGCAAUAUGUGCGUAGUGCCUCCGCCCAUCUCUCUCUUGCUCCUGGUCUCAUCGUGACGGGCCUGGUCCUGCCUCACUUUAUGCCACGACUAAGAGCUCCCUGAGGCCUCUCCAGAAGCAGAUAUCACUAUGCUUCCUACACAGCCUGCAGAACCGAACAAUAAGGAAGUGAGUGCUUUUGUAAUUCCUGAACAACUGUGUCUUACACUUACUAAGUUCUCUUGCCUGCCACCAUGUAAGAUAUGCUUUUACUCUUCCGCCUUCCACCGUGACUGUGAGGCCUCCCCAGCCAUGUGAAACUGCCUUUGAGCUUAUACUGAAUUAUACCACCAGCUUUCCUAGGUCUUGAAGCUUACAGACAGCAGAUCUUGGGACUUCUCAGGCACCAUAAUCAAUCAUAGAUAAAUGAUCCAAUGAUUCGGAACUUGAAAAGUGGUAGCUUUAUGAAUUCUCCUUAAGAAGAAACCUGUGCCCUGAUCUUGCCUACUCACCCAAAGGCACUGUGAGAUAGCAUCAAAGGAACAGCUAGUAAGAGACACAGAGCCAGAAAUCAGGGAAGUAAAAUACACUUGACAUCUACGUUCGGAAAGAAAUUUUAGGAGGCAGAAGCAAAUGGAUCAGAAGCUGCUUAUAUUUUUGCAAGAUUACCAAAGAAACCAUUGGUGGAGAAAGUUCUGUGACCAACUUGUCUGAGUCUAGUAAGAUUGAACGCUCACACACAAGUUUCAUGAAGUGGGUUUGAUACUUACAGAUAAGCAGCAAGGACCAACAGAAGCUGAUGAUCUAUGGUGAACUUUUUCCCAAGGCUCCGGAAAGCUGCCUAAAGUAGAUGGAGUCUUCUCUGUGUGUGCCCCACUGGUCCUGCAGUUGAAGGAUCCGGUAAAGCAGCCUGCCCUUGGUUUUAUACUCCAGAGGAACGUGAUUCGCUGGACUAAAGCAUUGAAGUGCAUCCUGUUUCCGGGGGGCACUGGAACAGAGCCUGGUCUGUUCUAGCCAGUCCCUUUCUAUCUCAGGAUAACAUUCUACAGUUAUUCUUGAGAACUAUAAUCAAAUAAGCAGGGAGAACUGGAGGCUCAUUGUGGAACCCUCAAGGAGCAUGGGGUCGUCUUCAUCCCUCAGUUUAUAAAUGGCCAAGGAGAGUAAUGCAACAAAAACUUCUCAGAGUUAAAAGCCAGAGUUCCUAAAGAACCGUGGACAAAGGGUUCUGUCUAGUGGGCAGAAUUCAUCCAGCGAAGGUCUCCUAACUACAGAGGGUCACAUCUGGAUCUGAUGGCACCUACAGAACUUGGACUCUGAGCGACAAUCAGUGACCAGGAAAUUUGGAACCCAGGUUUUCCCAACCUACAUCUACAAAAUGGAAUGGGUCUGAUUCGCAAGUUUUCAGAGAAAGAAGCCAACCUUAAUCAGACUGUGAUAUGAUGAGGAAAUAAAACUUGCUGUGCUAAUCAA